GCAUGUUUUGAUUUGAGAUUUGACCCAAACAUAUGGUCCGGUCUCAGUGUACGACAUGCCACAUCAGCAUGGCUCCGAACCAUUGGCUGGUCCCAAACAAUGGACUUGAUCACUGAAGCGAGUCAGACACCA
rnacentral:snoRNA from 1 species